rnacentral:rRNA from 1 species
GGCGAACGCUGGCGGCGUGCUUAACACAUGCAAGUCGAACGGAAAGGCCCUGCUUUUGUGGGGUGCUCGAGUGGCGAACGGGUGAGUAACACGUGAGUAACCUGCCCUUGACUAUGGGAUAACUUCAGGAAACUGGGGCUAAUACCGGAUAGGAGCUCCUGCUUCAUGGUGGGGGUUGGAAAGUUUCGGCGGUUGGGGAUGGACUCGCGGCUUAUCAGCUUGUUGGUGGGGUAGUGGCUUACCAAGGCUUUGACGGAUAGCCGGCCUGAGAGGGUGACCGGCCACAGUGGGACUGAGAUACGGCCCAGACUCCUACGGGAGGCAGCAGUGGGGAAUAUUGCACAAUGGGCGGAAGCCUGAUGCAGCAACGCCGCGUGCGGGAUGACGGCCUUCGGGUUGUAAACCGCUUUCGCCUGUGACGAAGCGUGAGUGACGGUAAUGGGUAAAGAAGCACCGGCUAACUACGUG